rnacentral:rRNA from 1 species
AUGAAUGCUGGCGGCGUGCCUAAUACAUGCAAGUCGAGCGAACAGACGAGGAGCUUGCUCCUCUGACGUUAGCGGCGGACGGGUGAGUAACACGUGGAUAACCUACCUAUAAGACUGGGAUAACUUCGGGAAACCGGAGCUAAUACCGGAUAAUAUAUUGAACCGCAUGGUUCAAUAGUGAAAGACGGUUUUGCUGUCACUUAUAGAUGGAUCCGCGCCGCAUUAGCUAGUUGGUAAGGUAACGGCUUACCAAGGCAACGAUGCGUAGCCGACCUGAGAGGGUGAUCGGCCACACUGGAACUGAGACACGGUCCAGACUCCUACGGGAGGCAGCAGUAGGGAAUCUUCCGCAAUGGGCGAAAGCCUGACGGAGCAACGCCGCGUGAGUGAUGAAGGUCUUCGGAUCGUAAAACUCUGUUAUUAGGGAAGAACAAAUGCGUAAGUAACUAUGCACGUCUUGACGGUACCUAAUCAGAAAGCCACGGCUAACUACGUG